GUGUAUGACCAUAAUACCCUGAAAAUGCCUGAUCUCAUCUAAUCUCAGAAGCUAGAAAGGGUAAGACCUGGUUAGUAUUUGGAGGAUAGACAAAGAAUAGAUUUUUUUCCUCC
rnacentral:rRNA from 1 species